GAAACAGCCAACAGAGGAGAAUGACAAGGAGGGGCAAUGAUGAUCCAAGGAGGUGGCAGAUCCUCAGGAAACACAGGUCCACCUGCAGGUACUGGAAACUGCUACCAUUGCCCAGACUAGCAGAAUAGAUUUCACCUUCGAAAGCGACCCUGGCCUGGAUCCUGCUGCUUCUGCCACAUCUAUUUCCAGCUUCCUCUUCCUACUGGCCUCCUUCUGAAGUCCCAACAUGAUGUCCUGCCAAGUCACACAGGUGAAGAUAUAGGUUUGGAAAGGGGAUAUAACUUUCCAUGGUCAAAAGCAAAUAAACUGAACAUCUCAGCCAGCCCAUCUGCUUGGAGCCCUCUGCCUUAAAGCCACAUCACUCUCUGAGAUGAAACACCAGCCAGACAGGGUGAAGACAGGAGCGAGCUCCAGGUUUACAAGUGAUAGGAUCCCUGUGGAUUUCUAGUUCAGACUGAAAAUCCAUGAAAUUUAGAAUAAUAUGGGGAUAGUUUACAGACAUGUGAACUUUUACUGUGUAUGUUUUACUUACAAUGCAAUACCUAAUACUUCCACUGCGACAUCAGCAAACAUCCUUAGCCCUGUUUGCCACUGCACCACAGAGCUUUUCAUGCAAACUAACAUUACAGUAUGAUACAAAGAAAACUGUUUCUUCUUAAGAUAUUUACAAUGUGAUCAGGUUUAUUUAAAUAAAGUCCAUUUUAUACUA
rnacentral:lncRNA from 1 species